rnacentral:rRNA from 1 species
GGCCUUCGGGUUGUAAAGGACUUUUGUCAGGGAGGAAAUCCCGCUGGUUAAUACCUGGCGGGGAUGACAGUACCUGAAGAAUAAGCACCGGCUAACUACGUGCCAGCAGCCGCGGUAAUACGUAGGGUGCGAGCGUUAAUCGGAAUUACUGGGCGUAAAGCGUGCGCAGGCGGUUUUGCAAGUCUGAUGUGAAAGCCCCGGGCUCAACCUGGGAACGGCAUUGGAGACUGCAAGACUAGAGUGCGUCANAGGGGGGUAGAAUUCCGCGUGUAGCAGUGAAAUGCGUAGAGAUGCGGAGGAAUACCGAUGGCGAAGGCAGCCCCCUGGGAUGACACUGACGCUCAUGCACGAAAGCGUGGGGAGCAAACAGGAUUAGAUACCCUGGUAGUCCACGCCCUAAACGAUGUCAAUUAGCUGUUGGGGGUUUGAAUCCUUGGUAGCGUAGCUAACGCGUGAAAUUGACCGCCUGGGGAGUACGGCCG